GCGGAAGUGGCGGAACUGGCAGACGCACUGGAUUCAGGUUCCAGCGCCCGAAAGGGCAUGGAGGUUCGAGUCCUCUCUUCCGCA
rnacentral:tRNA from 1 species